rnacentral:tRNA from 1 species
AUCAGAGUGGCGCAGCUGGAAGCGUGAUGGGCUCAUAAUCCACAGGUCGAAGGAUCGAAACCUUCCUCUGAUC